GUGGGGAAUUUUGGACAAUGGGCGCAAGCCUGAUCCAGCCAUGCCGCGUGCAGGAUGAAGGCCUUCGGGUUGUAAACUGCUUUUGUACGGAACGAAAAAGCUCUCUCUAAUACAGGGGGUGAAUGACGGUACCGUAAGAAUAAGCACCGGCUAACUACGUGCCAGCAGCCGCGGUAAUACGUAGGGUGCAAGCGUUAAUCGGAAUUACUGGGCGUAAAGCGUGCGCAGGCGGUUAUGUAAGACAGAGGUGAAAUCCCCGGGCUCAACCUGGGAACUGCCGUUGUGACUGCAUAGCUGGAGUGCGGCAGAGGGGGAUGGAAUUCCGCGUGUAGCAGUGAAAUGCGUAGAUAUGCGGAGGAACACCGAUGGCGAAGGCAAUCCCCUGGGCCUGCACUGACGCUCAUGCACGAAAGCGUGGGGAGCAAACAGGAUUAGAAACCCCGGUAGUCC
rnacentral:rRNA from 1 species